AUAAUGGAGAGUUUGAUCCUGGCUCAGGACGAACGCUGGCGGCGUGGAUUAGGCAUGCAAGUCGAACGAG
rnacentral:rRNA from 1 species